GGGGGCUGCGGCGUGCUACCAUGCAGUCGAACGGUGAAGCCCAGCUUGCUGGGUGGAUCAGUGGCGAACGGGUGAGUAACACGUGAGCAAUCUGCCCCUGACUCUGGGAUAAGCGCUGGAAACGGCGUCUAAUACUGGAUACGAACCGUGGAGGCAUCUUCAACGGUUGGAAAGAUUUUUUGGUCAGGGAUGAGCUCGCGGCCUAUCAGCUUGUUGGUGAGGUAAUGGCUCACCAAGGCGUCGACGGGUAGCCGGCCUGAGAGGGUGACCGGCCACACUGGGACUGAGACACGGCCCAGACUCCUACGGGAGGCAGCAGUGGGGAAUAUUGCACAAUGGGCGAAAGCCUGAUGCAGCAACGCCGCGUGAGGGAUGACGGCCUUCGGGUUGUAAACCUCUUUUAGCAGGGAAGAAGCGAAAGUGACGGUACCUGCAGAAAAAGCGCCGGCUAACUACGUGCCAGCAGCCGCGGUAAUACGUAGGGCGCAAGCGUUAUCCGGAAUUAUUGGGCGUAAAGAGCUCGUAGGCGGUUUGUCGCGUCUGCUGUGAAAUCCCGAGGCUCAACUUCGGGUCUGCAGUGGGUACGGGCAGACUAGAGUGCGGUAGGGGAGAUUGGAAUUCCUGGUGUAGCGGUGGAAUGCGCAGAUAUCAGGAGGAACACCGAUGGCGAAGGCAGAUCUCUGGGCCGUAACUGACGCUGAGGAGCGAAAGGGUGGGGAGCAAACAGGCUUAGAUACCCUGGUAGUCCACCCCGUAAACGUUGGGAACUAGUUGUGGGGUCCAUUCCACGGAUUCCGUGACGCAGCUAACGCAUUAAGUUCCCCGCCUGGGGAGUACGGCCGCAAGGCUAAAACUCAAAGGAAUUGACGGGGACCCGCACAAGCGGCGGAGCAUGCGGAUUAAUUCGAUGCAACGCGAAGAACCUUACCAAGGCUUGACAUAUACGAGAACGCUGCAGAAAUGUAGAACUCUUUGGACACUCGUAAACAGGUGGUGCAUGGUUGUCGUCAGCUCGUGUCGUGAGAUGUUGGGUUAAGUCCCGCAACGAGCGCAACCCUCGUUCUAUGUUGCCAGCACGUAAUGGUGGGAACUCAUGGGAUACUGCCGGGGUCAACUCGGAGGAAGGUGGGGAUGACGUCAAAUCAUCAUGCCCCUUAUGUCUUGGGCUUCACGCAUGCUACAAUGGCCGGUACAAAGGGCUGCAAUACCGUGAGGUGGAGCGAAUCCCAAAAAGCCGGUCCCAGUUCGGAUUGAGGUCUGCAACUCGACCUCAUGAAGUCGGAGUCGCUAGUAAUCGCAGAUCAGCAACGCUGCGGUGAAUACGUUCCCGGGUCUUGUACACACCGCCCGUCAAGUCAUGAAAGUCGGUAACACCUGAAGCCGGUGGCCCAACCCUUGUGGAGGGAGCCGUCGAAGGUGCAUCGAUAU
rnacentral:rRNA from 1 species